GCGUAGGCUAAUAAGACCCCUUAGAGAGUAUGAGGUUGAUAGGUCAGUGGUGUAAGCGGAGUAAUCCGUGUGCCUUCUGAUACUAAUAGGUCGAAGGCUUGACCAAA
rnacentral:rRNA from 1 species